ensembl:lncRNA
ACUAUGACGAGCUGCCAUCUAGUGGAAAAGUGGAGAUCACAUCUCAGCCAGUCACUAAAGGUGCUAAAAAGACUGUUCUCAAAUCUGCAAGGAGUGGAAAAAGCUACGUUAGAAAGGUGGGAGUUGCAUAUACAAGGCUCCCCAUGGGUAAUUUGCAACACAUGUACAUAUGUUCAUAACAUUACAUGUGCGUGUGUUCAUGAUGUUUAAAAUAUAACAAACCAGACGUCCCUGGAGCUACAGAGGCCUGGUGUGCAUCGUGUUGGUGAUUAGCAUCCCUUGACCAUUCUGAAGUCCGGGAACCCUGACUGCCAGGAAAGCCCUCAAGACAGCAGCUUCACUGGGUGGAAGGCACCACAGUAGCUGUGGGAAGAUGUUAUUUUUGCAGAGGCUGCUUAGCAUAGACUAUCACUAAGGGUCAGCACUUCCCAAGAGAGCCAGUAGUUGGCAAGGCACAGAAAACAGACACCUUGAUUUCACUGUGGCGAUGCAGACACACCGUGCAUAACAGCGUGAACUUCCCUUCACCCUGCCCUCCUCCCAGCUCUGAAGAACAACAAAUGCCACAAACUGAGAGGAACACUUUGAGGGAAGCUUGCAGCGCAGUGGAUGGACACCAGGUAUGUCAUGAGCAUUUUGAGCAGCACAAGUCCCAGAACAGACUCCUGUAGUGGUUCAUUGCAAGACUUGCCAUUUACUCUUAUGUUUUAUGCCUCCUAUACUAUUUUAAUUCAUGCACUAACCUUCCCUCCUCUCCCACUGUUGCUCAGUUCUCAGAAAAACAUUGCAAGGGCUUUUUAGAUCUCCAAGUACUAUGUAUGAAUUGGCUUUCCCUUAUCCGCAUGCUUGCUG